ensembl:snRNA U4 U4 spliceosomal RNA
AGCUUUGCGCAGUGGCAGUAUCGUAGCCAAUGAGGUUUAUCCAAGGCACGAUUAUUGCUAAUUGAAAAAAUCAUAAAGGCAGGAGUAAAUUUACCAUUUAGAAAUGUGUACUGAAAUUCAUUGAAUUAUUGGAUGCCAAAUACUAGA